rnacentral:rRNA from 1 species
UACGUAGGGGGCAAGCGUUGUCCGGAAUCAUUGGGCGUAAAGAGCGUGUAGGCGGCCAGAUAAGUCCGCUGUGAAAUCUCGAGGCUCAACUUCGAGCUGUCGGUGGAAACUGUCUGGCUAGAGUCCGGAAGAGGAGAAUGGAAUUCCUGGUGUAGCGGUGAAAUGCGCAGAUAUCAGGAAGAACACCCGGUGGCGAAGGCGGUUCUCUGGGACGGUACUGACGCUGAGACGCGAAAGCGUGGGGAGCGAACAGG